rnacentral:rRNA from 1 species
UACACAAAUAUGAAGGCGGGCUGGAACCUCUCGGGGUUACAGCCUUGCUGAAUUAUUCACCCUUGUCUUUUGCGUACUUCUUGUUUCCUUGGUGGGUUCGCCCACCACUAGGACAAACAUAAACCUUUUGUAAUUGCAAUCAGCGUCAGUAACAAAUUAAUAAUUACAACUUUCAACAACGGAUCUCUUGGUUCUGGCAUCGAUGAAGAACGCAGCGAAAUGCGAUAAGUAGUGUGAAUUGCAGAAUUCAGUGAAUCAUCGAAUCUUUGAACGCACAUUGCGCCCUUUGGUAUUCCAAAGGGCAUGCCUGUUCGAGCGUCAUUUGUACCCUCAAGCUUUGCUUGGUGUUGGGCGUCUUGUCUCUAGCUUUGCUGGAGACUCGCCUUAAAGUAAUUGGCAGCCGGCCUACUGGUUUCGGAGCGCAGCACAAGUCGCACUCUCUAUCAGCAAAGGUCUAGCAUCCAUUAAGCCUUUUUUUCAACUUUUGACCUCGGAUCAGGUAGGGAUACCCGCUGAACUUAAGCAUAUCAAUAAGCGGAGGAAAAGAAACCAACAGGGAUUGCCCUAGUAACGGCGAGUGAAGCGGCAACAGCUCAAAUUUGAAAUCUGGCUCUUUUAGAGUCCGAGUUGUAAUUUGCAGAGGGCGCUUUGGCUUUGGCAGCGGUCCAAGUUCCUUGGAACAGGACGUCACAGAGGGUGAGAAUCCCGUACGUGGUCGCUGGCUAUUGCCGUGUAAAGCCC